rnacentral:rRNA from 1 species
GCAGUCGAGGGGCAGCAUUUUAGUUUGCUUGCAAACUAAAGAUGGCGACCGGCGCACGGGUGAGUAACACGUAUCCAACCUGCCGAUAACUCAGGGAUAGCCUUUCGAAAGAAAGAUUAAUACCUGAUGGCAUAGGAUUAUCGCAUGAUAAUCCUAUUAAAGAAUUUCGGUUAUCGAUGGGGAUGCGUUCCAUUAGGCAGUUGGUGAGGUAACGGCUCACCAAACCUUCGAUGGAUAGGGGUUCUGAGAGGAAGGUCCCCCACAUUGGAACUGAGACACGGUCCAAACUCCUACGGGAGGCAGCAGUGAGGAAUAUUGGUCAAUGGACGGGAGUCUGAACCAGCCAAGUAGCGUGAAGGAUGACUGCCCUAUGGGUUGUAAACUUCUUUUAUACGGGAAUAAAGUGAUCCACGUGUGGAUUUUUGUAUGUACCGUAUGAAUAAGGAUCGGCUAACUCCGUGCCAGCAGCCGCGGUAAUACGGAGGAUCCGAGCGUUAUCCGGAUUUAUUGGGUUUAAAGGGAGCGUAGGUGGAUUGUUAAGUCAGUUGUGAAAGUUUGCGGCUCAACCGUAAAAUUGCAGUUGAUACUGGCAGUCUUGAGUACAGUAGAGGUGGGCGGAAUUCGUGGUGUAGCGGUGAAAUGCUUAGAUAUCACGAAGAACUCCGAUUGCGAAGGCAGCUCACUGGACUGCAACUGACACUGAUGCUCGAAAGUGUGGGUAUCAAACAGGAUUAGAUACCCUGGUAGUCCACACAGUAAACGAUGAAUACUCGCUGUUUGCGAUAUACGGUAAGCGGCCAAGCGAAAGCGUUAAGUAUUCCACCUGGGGAGUACGCCGGCAACGGUGAAACUCAAAGGAAUUGACGGGGGCCCGCACAAGCGGAGGAACAUGUGGUUUAAUUCGAUGAUACGCGAGGAACCUUACCCGGGCUUAAAUUACAUUUGAAUAAUCUGGAAACAGUUUAGCCGUAAGCAAA